UGCGUGGUCCAGAAUGCUUGGUUACUGACCAUUUCCUUCUACCCCAGCCCAAUGUUAAAAAGGGAAUUUUGCCAUUGUCCGGGGGUGUACAGAGGAGCUAGCAAAGGUGGUUCAAAUGGCAUGGAGAGAUGAAAAGAUACGUCAAGUCUGCCACAGAGCAACGACGACCACAGGACACCUGUGACUCUAAACGAGACAGAGGCAAGGACAGUGGGUCCACCUGACCAGGAGAAGUGGAAAGUGGGAGAUUGGGGGGCUAUUCUUUCAAACUUUCCAUUGGGACAAGGUCUCAGCUCUAGACUUUGCUUGGCCUUGUUUUUCACGGUCUUUUUUUUCUCCCGAAACUUCACGGCAACAUUCAGCUCCAGUGCCGUCUUGUGACCUGAAGGAUGGGAGUCACGCUCUAAACUCAAUAGUAGCUCCUCAGACGGUCUGUGGUGCUAUUGCAGCAAGUCACAACCUGUGGAUUGGUUCAGUGUCUCCUCCUGCCAAGCUUAGGUGUCAAUGCGUGUUGAUUCCAAUGCCUGUGGAACGACUGCAAUGACUCUGGGGUUUCUGACAGAUGGUGGUGCCGUCCAAAGGCACAUGGAUUGCCUAACAAGGACCAAGUUUCCAACGUUAUUUAUUUAGUUUCAGGUGUGUUGAGCUUGAAAACACACAAAGAGGCAGGUGCAUAAACAGAUCCGGAACUCAGGAGAUUAUGUAACGAGUGUAAAGUUUAAGAGCACAGAGGGAUUGGAUUAAAUCCUAUCUCUGCUACACCCGAGAUGUUGACCUUGGGCAAGUUCCUUAAUCUUUAUAUGCCUUGGUUUUCUUAUCUGUUGAAGGGGAAUAAGAAUAUUAAGAUCUACCUCCUAGGGAUGUAAUGAGGACUGGGUACAUUGAGCGUCUGGUGUAAACACUUUGUUAACGGUUCCAUCUUGUUACUCUCCCACAUGAAUCAUUAACAGGCGUUUCUCCAGGAAGAUGUGGGAUUGAGUAAGAUAGCUUGGGAGGACACUUGGCAGAGGUAGAGCAAGAGAGGGCUCAGGACAAAAGACCUGCUCACCUCUAACACAUGACCAUCUGGCAGAGGAGGAUGAGCCCAGGAAAGGUUACAGGGAAAGUUAAGGAAGAAUGAGAGAGGACAGUGAUGUGCCAUGGGGGAAAUGGCCAAGAGGCCAUGUUGGUAAGAAAUCCCAUAAAAACAAAGCUUAAAAAAAGGGGGGGGGGGUGUAUUGCAAUCAAUGAUAUGGAAUUUUUGGAGUCUUCGUGACAACUGUUCGGGGCGUGGGGAUGAAAGGGCCAGAAGCAAGGCCAAAAUCGGCCCUGGAGGGAAUGAGAGUUAGUACAUGCAGACAGCAAGUGUGGACCACUAUCUUGAGAAGCCUGCUCCUGAAAGGAGGAGAGAGAAAAACUGAGGACGUGCAUGCUUGAGCUCGUGUUCUAUUUAAAAGCAAAAAUGUCUCACGCAAAGGGCAUAAUUAGGUAGAUUUGUUAUACGCCACAGGAUGGAAGUGUAUAGAGCCGAUAAAGUAAUGGCUUUUGCUAUUUCUGUUUCUGUUCCUAAUUGCUACUGAGCAAGUCACUGUAAAUCAGAAAAUUUAGGAGAGGCAGCUCUUCUGCGUGGGGACCUUGAAAUGCAAAGAAGCUCUGCUGGAGGCAAAAGAUUUCGAGGACCUGUGGUGCAGUGGACAGGACCCAGCCUGUACCCCGAGGACUCACCCCGAGAUAAACAGGAUAAAUCAUUCUCCUCUACAGUCCUCUCCUACCCUUCCUGGAGCCUCCGCUGUGGAUCGCAUCCAGGAUACUACACUGCAUUUAGCCUCCUAGUCUCCUCUGCACCAUGACAAUUUCUGAGAAUUUCCGUGCUUUUUAUGACCUUGAUGAUUAGAGAUUUUUUUAAGAAUAUCCUUCAACCUGGGUUUGUCUGAUGCUUUCUAAUGAUUAAACUGCACAUACGUGUUCUGGGAAAGAAGUCCUCAGAGCUUUGUGACCUAUGAACUACAAGAUUUGUCCACUCAGUAAGCAUUGAUAUAAAAUAAUAUUUGGAGGAUUAUACGCUCUUUUCUCUACUCUGAAUUUUGUGAAAAAUCACUAAAAAGGAUACGUUAAGAAUAAUGGAAAUUCCCCUUGCUAAUUAGAAGUAGGAGACCAAAAAAGAGAGAAGCUUCUCUAGAGAGAAGCAUGAUACUGAUACUGAUACUGGAAGCAUGAGUUUUACCUGGAUGUCUCAUGUGGUUGGACUGACUGGUGGCAGUGUGUGAAGAAAUCUUACCAUGAAGACCCUCACACAUUUGAGGGGAACUGACUACUCUGUGCCUUGAGCAACAGAACUCCAGAUCUGGGACAUGGCUUGGCAUUUGGAGGGAGGCAGGUCGACGCUAUGCAGACCGCAGGAACUCAGGGACCCAUUUGUGUCUCAAAGCAGUGUGCAGUGUGCUGAAGACACCCUAAAAACAGUAGUUGCCGACGUUCCAUCUACCCUUCCACCCAUUCAGUAGUGGAAAACUAUAAUAAUGAUACAUGAUACUCCCUCUCUGUGGCUUUUGAGCAUUGCCAUUUAACAACAAUCCUAAGACCAAAGAUGACUGAACAGUCAUUUCUCGUAUUUCCCCUGCAUUCAUGGCUAUUCUCUUUGUUAACUGCAAGUAAUAGGGAGCUAUUCCUUGUUUGUUGCUGAGUGUGUAUGUCCCAAACUCCAUUAAUUCUCAACGAGCCCUAGGAUGCAGGCAUUACGGGUGGGACUGUCUCCCUGUUCUGAUGAGGAAAACAUAAAGAUUAGACAAUCUGCCAUAAUGAAAUAUGGGAUGAUGAGAUGUGCUACUAGAUUGGCAGCUGCUUUAAGUCUAUCCAAAUAUUACGUAUAUAUGUACACGUCUGUGUGUAUAUAUAUUAGAUUCCUGAAGGCUCCUUGAAAGCGUAACUAGUCACAAUGAUUUGUGCACACUGGAGGGGUUCUCCCACAUGGAAGGAAGUCGUGUUGCUGUAAAUAGUUUUUUUAAUCCUGUGCUCUGUAUCCCCGUCACUUAGAAAAGGCUUUGUGGAAGACUUGUAGGUUUCUGACUUUGGUAGUACGACGGCCUCCUGCUUGCCCUGUGUCUCCAUCUCCGUGUUCUUCACUCCGUUUGGGCAGACAUCCCUGCUGGGUCCCCCUGAAGUUUCUGCCUGUUUGCAUCUGGCCCAUCUCGGUGUUCACCAGAGCACAGAUCUCCUGGGGAAGCUUUCACCAACCCGGGAUCAGCAUCCUGGCCCUGCUCUGACAAAUUCCCACAAACACGGGCAUAAAGCAAGGCGAGGCCUGCUGGGCAUACCUCCACCAUGGGCCUUGUCACUGCAUACUGUAUUUGCUGGCUGGUCUUUCUGGUUGUCUUCAUGGGAACUCGUAGAAGAUAAGGAUGGAAUGGCAUUUUGGGAAUUCCUGUCUAAUGCCCGCGAGAUGGUGAUACAGGUGUGAAACAUCAGAGCAGGCUGCAAGGAGAGGUAAUGCCUUCAACUGGAGAAAGAUAAUGCUAACCUUGGCAGGGGUCACCUCGAGGAAGAGUCCAGCAGAAAAGUGGAGACAGCAUCAAGACUGAAGACUCUAGAACUUGAGGUUCACAUCUCAGCUGUGUUAUAUAACGGCAUGGCUCAGUUUCCCCACAGUAUCACUGUGAGGGUUAAAUGAGCUAUUGCAUGGAAAAUGCAACAGUGCAGACACACGCUACUAAGCUGGCUCAGCUUUUGCCACUCAAGCCACUGCUGGGGCCAAUACCCAGGGCUGUGAAGGUCACUACUUGGCCACCUCCUUCUUACUUAGUUAUCUUCACAACGAGGCGUCCCUGAAGAUACUGCCUUUGCCGCCCAUCGCCCAGGACUUUCAGCAGAUGCAGUCGCAGGAGCACGGCAAGUGGUGGCUUAGCUUACAUUGUGCCUCAUGCUUCCCUCGCAGGCGAGUCAUUUGGCAUGGAAGCAGACACGGAGGUCCAACGCCUGAUGCCAGCUUUGUGACUGACUUUGACACAGACUUCAGGAUUAGUUCGUUAAUCUCCCUCCUGGAUUAAAUGAAGGUCAUUAUGGAAAUACCCAACAUAAAAGGAUUUGGGGGGAUUUUUAGCAUUAAUUAAUGAUUAUCUCAUUCUUUGAAGCCCCAAGAAGACCAUCUAAAUGCCAAAGUCUAAUAGGUACACAAGGGCUGUAUUAUGUAUGAUGAAGUUUUUAUGCUAACUGAAGAAAUGAGAAAGAAUAAAAGCACUCUAUUUUGAAUACAAUGUGGAGGUAGUGAGUCAUGUCCAAACCAAGUGUAUCCUGUCUUAUCUGAUGCUGAAAUAAGUUACGUUUCCUGCAGAUAACACUCACACACCUAUACGAUCCGUGCAAGGUGGGAAACCCUCAGGAAUAGGUGGCCCCUCGCCUGUGAUCAAUACCAGGUGGCAACUCUAAUGGCACAGCGUAUUCUUUCUCUACAUCUCAGGCUGCUGCAUUAAAAGCAAUUUUCAAUCUCUGAUUUUUCACUGGAAGUGGAAAAAUGCUUACCUAACUGCUUUAUUUGUAAUGCCGUCCUUGCAAAUCCUAUGCUCAAAGUAACUAAAAGGGACAUAAAUAAAAGCAUCAUUGAAAUGUGGUUCUGUCUUCAUCAUAAUCCACUCUUCGAAAUGAAAUAAAAUAAACCCAUGUCUUAAAAUGGUUCAAAAAAUUAUGCGUAAGGAAAAGUGCCAUAUUCAAAGGUUUUUAACCAAAUAAUGUGGCAUUUCAGUCACCAAAUACCAAGGAUAACACAUGGGGGCAGAGAGCAUAAAUAAUUAAAAAAGAAUAAUACUACUUGAAAUUUGUUGGGGGGUUUGCAAUGUAGCCUAACACCAAUCAGGUCAAGAAAAAAAAUCAUUAUUUAACUGUUCACAUUUUUUUUUAAUGUAUGGGUUCAUGAAGUUGUUGAGAGGUAGAAGUAGAAAUAGGAGUUUUUGAAAAUAGGGAUAGAGGCUUUUAUAAAAUUACAUCUGCUCUAAUAAAGAAAAAUAAGAACCUGUAUCACCCGUGAAAAACCUUCAGGAAAAUUCAAAGCCAAGGAUAAUAUGUAGACUAUUCAACCAAUACCUGACACAGGCAGAAAUACAAAUAUUAUGUAAAUGUUGGGUAUCAAGUGUCUCUGGGAUUGAGCUGGCAGUGGGAGGACUUCUGUUAGUGAAAGGGGAUCUGGAACAUUCUUGCGGUGACUCAAAAGAAUACAGUGUCAUGAUCAUAAGUCAUGAAGGACAUGAGAUGAGUUUGAGAAUCUGAGAAAAGCAAGGGAGGGAAUGCAAUCCAGGAUGGGUAGAUACUUAAGAUGUUGAAGGAACAUUUUUAUUCUCCCUGUAGAAAACCAAAACAGAGUUACAGACAGAUGGAAAGACUGUAUGCAAUGACUCUAAAAGAAAAAAAAAAAGGUGAAUGAUCCUAGCAAGUUACUGUGUGAUGAAGAACCAAAGUGAGCACAGAAUUAACCUUGCUGUUAGGAAUGUCACUGGUAUGGUGACAUUACUGACUUUGGAGGGGAAUGACACAUGACCAGAUUUAAUCUUUUUUUUUUUAACAUUUAUUUGGGGUGGGUAAGAACAAUAUCCAAGGUGGUUGUGUGUUUUGUUUGGUUGGUUUUUAUUUAUUUUUUAAAGAAAAGAAGACGUUCUAGAUGCAUAGAAUUGAAGCUUAAGGAAUUUUGACCCCUGCAUGUUCCAAGGUCAAAUUUUAACAUGUCUUCGUAUGGAGGGUCCAGUACCGGGGAUAAUGAAAAAGAUAAUAUUCAAUUUUGUCCUUCCCAACCGCCCUCCCUUGGGUCCACACACACAAGCAAGGGAAAAGGCAAAUAUGAAUCGUUUCCAGCAAUCUGUCCCCUGGAACAAUCACUGAAGACAAUCUGGUGAGGACACAUUGGCAUUUUUAGAGCAAGCAGAAAACUAUUCAAGAUGCUUGUACUGCAGAAUGGGAGGCGAUGAAUUCAACUCUGGUUCAUGUGGCAGCCUUUUCAUGUCCAGGACAGUCAUCCCACACAAGUCUCCCAUCUCUAAUCACCAACCUUCUCCAUUUCUUCCUCUACUCU